rnacentral:pre_miRNA from 1 species
UAGCUGGGUCAUACAGCAGGGUUUUGUUUGUUUCUUUGUUUUGUUUUUGAGACAGGGUCUCACUGUAUCGCCCAGGCUA